rnacentral:rRNA from 1 species
GACGAAGGGGGGCUAGCGUUGUUCGGAAUUACUGGGCGUAAAGCGCGUGUAGGCGGUUGUCCAAGUUGGAUGUGAAAGCCUUGAGCUUAACUCAAGAAAUGCAUUCAGGACUGGAUGACUAGAGGACCGGAGAGGAUAGUGGAAUUCCCAGUGUAGUGGUGAAAUACGUAGAGAUUGGGAAGAACACCAGUGGCGAAGGCGGCUAUCUGGACGGUUUCUGACGCUAAGACGCGAAAGCGUGGGGAGCAACAGG